rnacentral:tRNA from 1 species
GAGAUAAAAGUAAGAGAAGAGCUGCUAACUCCUCCUCUAAGCGGUUAAAUUCCGUUUGUAUCUUU